AUUGAACGCUGGCGGCACGCCUAACACAUGCAAGUCGAGCGGCAUCGCGGGUGGUAGCAAUACUACCUGGCGGCGAGCGGCGGACGGGUGAGUAACACGUAGGAACCUGCCCUUGAGAGGGGGAUAACCAAGGGAAACUUUGGCUAAUACCACAUAAACUCGGGAGAGCAAAGCUGCCGAAAGGUAGCGCUUGAGGAGGGGCCUGCGUCCGAUUAGCUAGUUGGUGAGGUAAUAGCUUACCAAGGCGAUGAUCGGUAACUGGUCUGAGAGGACGACCAGUCACACUGGGACUGAGACACGGCCCAGACUCCUACGGGAGGCAGCAGUGGGGAAUCUUGGACAAUGGGGGCAACCCUGAUCCAGCGAUGCCGCGUGGGUGAAGAAGGCCUUCGGGUUGUAAAGCCCUUUAGGUUGGGAAGAAGUGUGUGAUUUGAUAAAGGUUGCACAUUGACGGUACCGACAGAAUAAGCACCGGCAAACUCUGUGCCAGCAGCCGCCGUAACAC
rnacentral:rRNA from 1 species